rnacentral:rRNA from 1 species
AUGGCUUUAGGUCAAAACCAGUUGUAUGGCACGCUUGUGACUGAUCAGGGCAAGGAUUUCUUUUGUAACUAUACCCAGUUAAGCUUUCUAGACCUAUCAAGUAAUGCCUUACGUGGAGGCCUCUCCCAGUGUUUCUGGGACAUGGCAAAUUUGGUGUUCAUGGAUUUGUCCAGCAACUAUUUCAGUGGUGUAGUUGCAUUCUCGAGGACAUGUGGAGAUUAUCUUAGCUAUCUACACCUAGCCAAUAACAAUUUCAUUGGAACCUUCCCUUUGGGUCUUAAGAAAUGCAAAGAGCUGAUCACUCUAGAUCUUGGAGGCAAUAAUUUCUCAGGUAUAGCCGGCAUUGAUUUUUCUGGCAACUCUUUGUCACAGGAGAUCCCAAAUGGGCUCACAACCCUUAUUGGAAUCAGAUACCUGAACUUAUCACGAAAUCAUCUGUCAGGUCUUAUUCCCAAUGGCAUUGGCAAUCUUGUACUGGUGGAAUCCUUGGACCUUUCGCAGAACCAGCUCUCGGGAGAAAUUCCUCCAAGCUUUGCAGCUUUGAAGGCCCUGAGUGUUCUGAACCUCUCAACUAACAAGUUAUCAGGGACGAUCCCUACGGGAAGUCAGCUGCAGACGCUUGAUGACCCAUCGAUAUACAACAAUAACCCGGGGCUAUGUGGAUUCCCGUUGAAGGGCUGUGUAAACUCGUCGACACCAACCCAAACUGAAACAAGCAUGGAUGAAGAUAGAGAGGCACUGUGGUUGUAUUGCUUUGUGGCUGCUGGGUUUAUCUCUGGGUUCUGGCUAUACUUGGGCUUCUUGUUUCGCAGCGAGACAUGGAGGUAUUCAUUCUAUCAGUAUGUGGACAACAUGCAAGCGAAGGUGACCAAGAAGAUACGAAGCUGCAUUUCGUGCUUCCAGGUCAAAGGGCCUGAAUGA